AGUGGGAUUGCUGGGUCAAAUGGUGGUUCCAUUCUAAGUUUUACAUGGAAUGUCAUCCUGCUUUCCAGAUUGGUUGCACCAAUUUGCAGUCCCACCAGCAGU
rnacentral:pre_miRNA from 1 species